rnacentral:rRNA from 1 species
UACGAAGGGGGCUAGCGUUGCUCGGAAUCACUGGGCGUAUAGGGUGCGUAGGCGGGUCUUUAAGUCAGAGGGGAAAUCCUGGAGCUCAACUCCAGAACUGCCUUUGAUACUGAGGAUCUUGAGUACGGGAGAGGUGAGUGGAACUGCGAGUGUAGAGGUGAAAUUCGUAGAUAUUCGCAAGAACACCAGUGGCGAAGGCGGCUCACUGGCCCGUUACUGACGCUGAGGCACGAAAGCGUGGGGAGCAAACAGG